UCACCUCACUCAACCCAGCUGGAGUCAAUAUUUGCAUGGCCCUCCAUACCCAAAAUACAGGAGGGCUGAGGGCAUUGGCUUAUGUAUGAUACCAUUCAUUUACAUGCGCCAGUAGCAUUUCCACCGAGCAACAACCUAAUCACUCUGGAUGGAUGUUGCUUGGAGAUUUGGGAUCACUUUGGAUGAGUUGAGAUUUUAUUGAUAAAACUUGAAAACAUUAUUAUGCACUAAGAAACAUGGCAAUAUAUGCUAGAUCAUGGAUCAUGGAUCAUGGAUCACAGAUCUUCCUUCAGUUGCGCGAGGCAGUUAUGGGACCAGUACAUGCAAUCAGUGUGCAAAUGGGAUGAGUGAUGCAUCUCAUUUGUAGCAGCCCAUCUGUUGAUUCCUUGUAUAUAGUUUUUCCAGGUCAGCAAUGAGGCGCUUGUGCCAAAACUGCGCGUGGAUCCUAGCAGGGGCACACUUGAAUGUGGUGCUAAAAAAGUUCAUUGUGAAAAAUCAUCAUUAAGAGUGUGUAUGCUAGCUGUAGAUGAAUGAGUGAAGAA
rnacentral:sRNA from 1 species